GGGAUUGUGGCUCAGUGGUAGAGCGCUCGCCUAGCACGGGCAGAACCUGGGUUCGAUUCUCAGCACCA
rnacentral:tRNA from 1 species